rnacentral:lncRNA from 1 species
AUACAACAAAUCAUCUAAGCAACAUAACAUGGAAAAGGCUUCAAGGAAAUUGCUCUUCUUUAUCACUUUUUGGCUUGUUGCAACAGGUUUGCUCUCUCAAAUAAAAAAUCAUAUGCCUGAAACUUCAUUAUCCUUCUUGCCUUUCCUCGUCUAAUGUGUUCCCUUUUGAUGAAUACCUUAGUCGUAUCGGUUAAAAAAAUUUCUUGUAUAUCAUAUAUGCUUAAAUUUUACCUCUUUUUUGUUACAUUAUUUGUUAUAGGAUGAUGACUCCAGAUUUAAAACAAAAAUAGUAAAUUAUUUUUCAUUCAGCUUCGUGCACUUUAGAACUGUAGAAAGUAAUUUGAUAUUUUUUGUGUGAUAACUUGCAGGGUUUUAUUUGAUGGAUGGAAUUGCAGAAGCAAGAAGUUCAACCCCAGGACCACAUACAUGUACAGCUGAUAAAGAUUGCCAACCAUACUGUUCAUUUUUUAAUGCUGGCACUGGUGUUUGUGUUAAAAACUUGUGUAAUUGUCAUAAAAACUCAAACACCCUAAUGCAUGAGGAGAAUAAAGACAGCACAAUUGAGAAGGCGCAAAUAACUACAUAGAAAAGAGAAGAAGAAAAGCUAUAGAAUUUUCUUUAAACUCGUAUUGCACAUUUAAAGAUGUAAUAGAUAUUGUGCUAGUAAAAAUCAG